rnacentral:rRNA from 1 species
UACAGAGGUCUCAAGCGUUGUUCGGAUUCAUUGGGCGUAAAGGGUGCGUAGGCGGCGCGGUAAGUCGGGGUGUGAAAUUUCGGAGCUUAACUCCGAAACUGCAUUCGAUACUGCGGUGCUUGAGGACUGGAGAGGAGACUGGAAUUUACGGUGUAGCGGUGAAAAUGCGUAGAUAUCGUAAGGAAGACCAGUGGCGAAGGCGGGUCUCUGGGCCGAUACUGACGCUGAGGAGCGAAAAGCGUGGGGGAGCGAACAGG